rnacentral:rRNA from 1 species
AGUGAACGCUGGCGGUAGGCCUAACACAUGCAAGUCGAACGGCAGCACAGUAAGAGCUUGCUCUUACGGGUGGCGAGUGGCGGACGGGUGAGGAAUACAUCGGAAUCUACUUUUUCGUGUGGGUUAACGUAGGUGAACUUACGCUAAUACCGCAUCCCACCUUCGGUGGUAAGCAUGGGAUCUUCGGACCUUGCGCGGUUGAAUGAGCCGCUGUCGGGUUAGCUAGUUGGCGGGGUUAAGGCCCACCAGGUCGACGAUCCGUAGCUCGACUGGGAGGCUGGUCAGCGACAUUGGAACUGAGACACGGACCAGAGUCCUACGGGAGGCAGCAGUGGGGAAUAUUGGACAAUGGGCGCAAGCCUGAUACAGCCAUACCGCGUGGGUGAAGGAGGCGUUGGGGUUGGAAAGACCUUUUGUUGGGAAAGAAAAGCAGCAGGUUAAUACCACGCGGUUCUGACGGUAAUCAAAGAAUAAGCACCGGCUAACUUCGUG